ACACACACACACUCAUGUUGUGGCUGCUGGUUGUACAUACGUACUGUUUUUUAAAUUCACUUUUUAGAUCACACAAGUUUUGUACAAAAACGAAAAUAGAUGAAGCUGAUAUUUGACACAGCGAUGACGAUUUACGUCAACUUUAUAAACGGUGCUUUAUUUUCCCUCCCUUUCAUGAGCAACAAACGUGAUUUGAUACCAAACAAUAGCAAGCGUGGCUUUGCCGUGUAGCACAGAACAUAUGUGUUGUUAUUUUUAUACAUAGAAAUGUGCUCAUCAUGUAGCAGAACUAGCUGGUACGUCCCGGGUCCCCUCCCAAGCAGCAGGGGGCAGUACGCAAACCUAUCCUUUCUUCCUUUGUUUCUUCUUCCUGACUGGAACAGAAUGUUGAUUCACAUGUACUGUAGGUUUUAGCUCUAAAACACUAACCAAUCAGUGAUUAUGCAAUUAAGUGUAUAUAUAUAUAUAUAUAUAUAUCUUUUUGUAGUUUAAUGGCGCACAAGGGAAGUGACAAUCAGGCGCAUUUGAAAUUGGUAACACUACAAACAAACAAGACACUCUUUUGAGCUGAAACCUCAACCAAAGCCCAAAUAUCUGAAUGUGUAUCUAAAUUUUGUCAUUAAUGUUUGUACACUAUAACCUCAAAAUAUGAAUACAAAUCUCAUAUGCACCAAAAUUAAACCCUUCUGCUUAAAUUUGUAGACACGUUUUUUUGUCUGAUCCAUUUAAACAAAUAUUGACAAAAAAAAUCAUUGAUGAGGAGGUAAUGAGAUAAUUUAAGUCUUGCUCAAGCAAACUUGGCGUGCAAGAAGUAGCAUGUAGCUGCAUCUCGAUUAAUACUGGCAUGUUAAAGUGUCGCAUAAAGAGGCUAGCCAACGUUGGUGACGACAACUUGCUAGUUUUAUGAAUUUUAUACCAUUAGUCUUUGUAAAGAUGUUCCUCCAGCUUUUUUUUCUUCAUGUUUUUGAGUUACUAAAUGGUUUUCAUAAAGCAGAACAAAAGGAUUAGGCUAGCUAACACUGGGACCGACGAAUAGCUAGUUUUUUCAUCAAGAUCUAAGACACUAUGACAUAGAACAUUCCUUGCACCUUCAAAAUGUUUUCUUGGUUUUUCUUGUGACAAAAUGACAUCUUAAGAAGUAGAACAUAGUUAACAUGCUACUCAAUGCUGCCGUAUUAACAUGUCGGCAAAAAAAAAAAGGCCAGCUAACACUGGAAGCAAGCUAGUUUUACGACAUUUUAGACUGUUCUUGUUUGUCACAUCAUUCCUUGCACAUUGAUUUUUUUUUUAACUUGUGUUUUUGAGCCACAAAAUGGCAUCCAAGAAGGCUGGCAUGGCUGCGUCAAAAGUUGAGUAGGCUAGCUAACACGGGUGACUAAAAGUAGCUAGUUUUACAUCACAUACUACGACAUGUGUGUCAACAUUCCCAAAAUGUUUUCUCAUGUUAAGUGUCACAAAUGGUGUCUAAAGUAGUAGAACAUGGCUACAUAUGACAACGUGACGACUAGAGUAGCUAACACUAGCUAGUUUUACGUAACGUCCUGUGCGGCCCUCGCAACAUCUGAAAAUAUUGUCUCCAUCGUUUUGAGCAACAAGCUUGCAUCUCAGAAGCAGGACAUAACUUCGUAGUGUGACCGACCUUCCAUAAAUGUUCCCCUGCGGAUAUUGUUCUCAAACGUUUUCUUUUGUUGCUAACAUCACAGCAGUCAUUAUUUGGUUUGAGUGCCUUCCUUGCCUUGCGCGUUGUGUUGACGUCAUCGCUGGCGAAAUGAUAGGUCAUAAUGGGUAAUGCAGUGUAAAUACAGAGUAUGAGUUCCAUUUUGGUAGCUGAUGGCAUCAUCAGCGUCUGUGUAGUCACUGGGAUUUGCGAGAAAAUAAAAACACUUUGCUUUGGAAAUGUAAUGUUUUCUUUCUUUCCAGCGGUAUCUGCCUGUCGAUAAUCUGUCAUCUUGGCUAUAUAAUUGUCUGUCUAUUCACCCAUCUAUCUCUCUGUCUAUCUAUUUUCUCAAAAUGAGUAGUUCAUAUGCCAAGUCUAUAUCUAGUGCUGCCACAGAAAGAACCGGAAACUGGAAAAAAGAUGCCAAAUUGAUGAAAGACAUUUGAUGAUAGAGUCCUGCUUUUGCUGCACAACACAAUGGGGAUUGUGUGUUACUUUGUGUACCACAAUGCAAGUGUGAAAACUACAACAAAAUAUCAGAAUAAAUAUGUCCAA